rnacentral:rRNA from 1 species
UAAUACAGAGGGUGCGAGCGUUAAUCGGAUUUACUGGGCGUAAAGCGUGCGUAGGAGGCUUUUUAAGUCGGAUGUGAAAUCCCUGAGCUUAACUUAGGAAUUGCAUUCGAUACUGGGAAGCUAGAGUAUGGGAGAGGAUGGUAGAAUUCCAGGUGUAGCGGUGAAAUGCGUAGAGAUCUGGAGGAAUACCGAUGGCGAAGGCAGCCAUCUGGCCUAAUACUGACGCUGAGGUACGAAAGCAUGGGGAGCAAACAGGAUUAGAUACCCUGGUAGUCCAUGCCGUAAACUAUGUCUACUAGCCGUUGGGGCCUUUGAGGCUUUAGUGGCGCAGCUAACGCGAUAAGUAGACCGCCUGGGGAGUACGGUCGCAAGACUAAA